GAUGAACGCUAGCUACAGGCUUAACACAUGCAAGUCGAGGGGAAACGGCAUUGAGUGCUUGCACUCUUUGGACGUCGACCGGCGCACGGGUGAGUAACGCGUAUCCAACCUUCCCAUUACUGUGGGAUAACCUGCCGAAAGGCAGACUAAUACCGCAUAGUCUUCGAUGACGGCAUCAGAUUUGAAGUAAAGAUUUAUCGGUAAUGGAUGGGGAUGCGUCUGAUUAGCUUGUUGGCGGGGUAACGGCCCACCAAGGCGACGAUCAGUAGGGGUUCUGAGAGGAAGGUCCCCCACAUUGGAACUGAGACACGGUCCAAACUCCUACGGGAGGCAGCAGUGAGGAAUAUUGAUCAAUGGACGGAAGUCUGAACCAGCCAAGUAGCGUGCAGGAUGACGGCCCUAUGGGUUGUAAACUGCUUUUGUAUGGGGAUAAAGUUAGGGACGGGUCCCUAUUUGCAGGUACCAUACGAAUAAGGACCGGCUAAUUCCGUG
rnacentral:rRNA from 1 species